AGAGCCAUAACUGAGCAUGACCCAUAGUCCCUUCCCUGCGCCAUAAUAAUCCCAGACACCAGUUCCCAGCCCUCAAAUUCAUCCUGACAGGACACAAGCAAGACCUGACUCAGCUCCAAUGGGCAGCAAGCAGGCAGCCUCUGCUUCCCCAGCCAGGGCAUGCCUGACGGUCACCCUUCCGGGCCACGCAUGCCUUCUGAUGGGAAGAGUAAGGGACCCCAUUCAUCCUCUGCAUACUCACCCCGCCUCUUUGCAACGGGCUAUUUAAUCUCCACUGUGUGGACUCCAACACCGUCUCAAUGAAAUGCAGAUCCCUCAGCCAUGAUUGUCUCGCUGGUGCUCCUCCAUCUUCCUGCUAUCAACAGCUCUGCUGUCCAGGCUAUGGCUGUAAAUCACGAAGGCUCUCCUUUAUCACAACGCCCUUCGACCUUUGGCCACACCUGUCAGCAUCCUCCGGACUCUGUUUGCUGAGCCAACAUCAGUGGCUCACUCAUGCAGGCAAACCCAGCCUUGGAUAGAUCACGGCCAUUUAGUCAACAGGGGAACUGGAAUUUGAAACUGUCUACCUCCAGAGUCCUGUGUAGUGGAUGUUCUGCCAGUACCCCUCAGCCAAACCCAUGCGCAGUAUAAAUAGUCCCACCAUAGCAAAUUUUUGACCGGCUACAUGAUACCAUUGAAUGCAAAGCUUGGAAGAGACACCAUGC